rnacentral:rRNA from 1 species
GGAGGGUGCGAGCGUUGUCCGGAAUCAUUGGGCGUAAAGGGCGCGUAGGUGGCCCGGUCAGUCUUUGGUGAAAGCGCGGGGCUCAGCCCUGCGUCGGCCAGGGAUACUGCCGCGGCUCGAGCACUGUAGAGGCAGGCGGAAUUCCGGGUGUAGCGGUGGAAUGCGUAGAGAUCCGGAAGAACACCGGUGGCGAAGGCGGCCUGCUGGGCAGUCUGGCUGACACUGAGGCGCGACAGCGUGGGGAGCAAACAGGAUUAGAUACCCUGGUAGUCCACGCCGUAAACGAUGGGCACUAGGCGCUUGGGGGAGCGACCCCCCGAGGGCCGGCGCUAACGCAUUAAGUGCCCCGCCUGGGGAGUACGGCCGCAAGGCUG